UUAUUUUCGUGUACGGAGGACCCGAUUAGCGGAACCAAGGUACCCGCGGAGGGGAAAAGUUGAAAAGAAUUCUGAAGAGAGAAGUUCAACAGGACGUGAAACCCGUUGACAGGCAAACGGAUGGAGCUGACGGUGCAAUUUUGACCAAAAUCAGUCGUCGCUGGGUUCGUUGGCGAAUGAAUCUUUUGCAAACUUGUUUGUGUAGAUUAUCUUUCGAUUCGAAUCUACGCACGGUGCACUUUUGGUCGAUCAGCGUCACGAGCAACGUUCGCAAAUGUUUUGCUGCCGACAGUAAUGCUGUUUGUUGUUUUUAAAAGCAACGAACAAUAAACGCGGCUUGUGGAAGAGGUAAUUGUGAUGAAAAGUUUUGCUUUUGUCUCAAUUGCCGUGCCAUUGCCGCAUCUCUCGGAUGAAUGUUGUUGUUGACAAGAUGAAAAGCAUUGUUCUGCGUUCAAUUGUAAUGGGUCUGUUGGUUCCGUUGCGUUCGUGGGUUUCGGCUCACGAUUUGUCUGGUACGUCGGGAAAAAAGUCAAUUAUGAAUGUAAUUGAUCUGACUACCGUGCGUAACGGAAUUCAAAUGUGUGUUUGAUGGACUUUAUUUGCAAUCGGCGCUCAAUGUGUUUUCUUAUAUCGGUGGCGUCAAUGUUAGCCUCCCAUCCGACCCGUCUUGAAACACGGACCAAGGAGUUCAGUAGGCACGCGAGUCGUUGACGUUUUUCAUUGAACAGUCGAAGGCGAAAUGAAAGUGUUAAUGAAAAUGAACUGUACUUCUUUAUGGAGUGCUGUUCAAUUUUUCAACAUGAUCGUCCUUUUU
rnacentral:ncRNA from 1 species